CCUACGGGAGGCAGCAGUAAGGAAUAUUGGACAAUGCUCGCAAGAGUGAUCCAGCCAUGCCGCGUGCAGGAAGAAUGCCCUAUGGGUAGUAAACUGCUUUUGAACUAGAGAAAACCCCAGUACGUGUACUGGGCUGAUAGUAUAGUUAGAAUAAGCAUCGGCUAACUUCGUGCCAGCAGCCGCGGUAAGACGAAGGAUGCAAGCGUUAUCCGGAUUCAUUGGGUUUAAAGGGAGCGUAGGUGGACUGAUAAGUCAGUGGUGAAAUCUCCGAGCUUAACUCGGAAAUUGCCAUUGAUACUGUUGGUCUUGAGUACAGUUGCUGUGGGCGGAAUAUGACAUGUAGUGGUGAAAUACAUAGAGAUGUCAUAGAACACCGAUUGCGAAGGCAGCUCACAAAGCUGUAACUGACACUGAGGCUCGAAAGUGCGGGGAUCAAACAGGAUUAGAUACCCUGGUAGUCCGCACCGUAAACGAUGAUUACUCGCUGCUAGGGGGCAACCUUUAGUGGCUUAGCGAAAGCGAUAAGUAAUCCACCUGGGGAGUACGCCGGCAACGGUGAAACUCAAAGGAAUUAGACGG
rnacentral:rRNA from 1 species